rnacentral:rRNA from 1 species
AGCUGGGCCGUAACUGACGCUGAGGCACGAAAGCGUGGGGAGCAAAUAGGAUUAGAUACCCUAGUAGUCCACGCCGUAAACGAUGAAUACUAAGUGUUGGAGAAAUUCAGUGCUGCAGUUAACGCAAUAAGUAUUCCGCCUGGGGAGUAUGCACGCAAGUGUGAAACUCAAAGGAAUUGACGGGGACCCGCACAAGCGGUGGAUUAUGUGGUUUAAUUCGAUACAACGCGAAGAACCUUACCAAGUCUUGACAUCCCUGGCGAAGGUAUAGAGAUAUACUGGAGGUUAUCCGGGUGACAGGUGGUGCAUGGUUGUCGUCAGCUCGUGUCGUGAGAUGUUGGGUUAAGUCCCGCAACGAGCGCAACCCUUGUCUUCAGUUACCAGCAUUCAGUUGGGGACUCUGGAGAGACUGCCGGUGACAAACCGGAGGAAGGUGGGGAUGACGUCAAAUCAGCAUGCCCCUUAUGACUUGGGCUACACACGUAAUACAAUGGCGCACACAAAGGGAAGCAAUAGGGUGACCUGGAGCAAAUCUCAUAAAUUGCGUCUCAGUUCGGAUUAGAGUCUGCAACUCGACUCUAUGAAGUUGGAAUCGCUAGU